rnacentral:lncRNA from 1 species
AAGUACAAACUGAGUGGAUAUUGUGAUUCUGAUUGUGCUGAAGAUAAAUUUGAGAGAAAGCGCACUAGUGGCAACUACACCUUUCUUGGUUACAACUUAAUAUCUUGGUCAAGUAAGAUACAAAACACCAUUGCAAUGUCAACAACAAAGGCCAAGUACAUUUCAGUAGCUGACUGCAGCUCUCAACUACUUUGGAUGAAACAUCAACUUGAAGACAAAAAAAUCCUAGAACCCAACAUUCCCAUCUAUUGUGAUAAAACUUCUGCAAUUUGUCUAACCAAAAACUCUAUCUUACAUUCUAGAGCUAAACACAAAGAUAUCAAACACCACUUCAUUACAAACUUUGUUCAAAAAGGGGUACUAAACAUUCAAUUUGUAGAUACUAAGCACCAAUGGGCUAUUCACCAAACCACCACCUGAAGAUAGGUUUGACUUCAUCAAGAAAAACCUAAGCCUUACCGUCAUACUUGACUGAUGUUGUGAUCAAUUCAAAAUAAUUUAGCUUUACAUUAGUUUUUAUAUUUUCUUGUAAUAUGUUAUAUUCAUGUUAAUAAAAAAAACGAAAAAAAAAAACAAAAAAAAUAAAUGAAAGAAAAAAAAAGUCUCACCUUCAAGUCUUAUUGUCUGAUGACAAAAGGGAGAGAAAUAUAUUUCAUAAAGUGGGAGAGAAAAUGAUACUUAGACUCAGGGGGAGCCGUAAAUUAGGGGGAGUUAAAUAAAUAUAAAGAAAAGUUGUUAUAAAAAAAUAUAAAUUUUGUCAUAAUAAAAAAGAGGGAGAUUGUUGGAACCAAGUUGAUUUUAUACUUAGAGUUUUUAUGAUAACAAAAGUAUUUUAUGAGAACAAUAUAUUUGACUUCUUAGAGUAUGAAAUAAGAUAUGGUCAAGAUUUGAAGAAGAUUUUGUCAAAAUUUAUCUACACCAAAAUAUGAACAUAAUCAAUUUGAAGAAUUUAUACUUAGAGUUUUUAUGAUAACAAAAGUAUUUUAUGAUAACAAUAUAUUUGACUUCCAAGAGUAUGAAAGAAGAUAUAGCCCAGAUUUGAAGAAGACUUGAUCAAGAUUUAUCUAUAGCAAAAUAUUAACAGAAUCAAUUUGAAGAAUUUAAAAAAAAAUCUAAACAAAAUACGAACAAAAUCAAUUUGAAGAAUUUACAAUCUCAAUCGAAACAAAAUAGGUACACAAUGUAUCCGAAGAAUAUACUAAUGCAAUCUGAACAAAAUACAAUUGAGAAUUAAACAAGGACUAAAUUAAAGCCCAAGAGUAGUAGUCAAGGCUGGAGAAGAAAAUCAUCGAAAAACAUAAAAGAUAAGUCCUAGAUUUCGAAGAGAGAAACACUUGUUCGAACGAGAAAUACUCUCUAAGUGUUUUUUCUUAGAAUGUGAGUGUUAUUAUUAUUAUCAGCUUUGUUAGAAGCAAACACUUAAAGUUUCAAUAUUUUUAUCCAACCCUAUAGUGGCUUAGUUCAUUCUUCAAUCUGUAGUUGUCAGGUUGUCAGGAGAAUACUUGGCUUGUAGGGUCAAUGUCGUUAGCUCCUCAAAAGUUUGGGGUUCUCAGGCUGUUUGAAAAGACUGAAUUGGAGGGCCAGGUACUUUGUAAUUCAAGGUAAUUGAAUUAGUGGAUUAAAGCCUUCUGAAUGAGGGGACUGGAUCUAUCCAAGUUAGUGGUGAACCAGAAUAAAUUUAUUUGUCAAAUUAUUUAAGCUUUCAUUGUUUGCUACCUCUGAAUUUGAUUGCUUCUUCUCCAAGUAAGUCACCAAAAUCGAACUAGUUUAUUUAUUUAUUUAUAAAUUAUCAAAAAGUUAUCAACUUUAUCAAACACAAUUCAACCCCUCUUUCUAGUGUAUAUGAGAAUUAAUAAUCCAAUAUAAUAUCCAUAUCAUUUUGAUAGGGAUGGUUUAAUAGCCAAACCUUUUGGGAAUCACAACAUGUUGAGUCUUAUAGUGGUGAUCCUUUCGGUUGAGCUUUAAGGCAAUAUGCAAGUGAAAUAGCAAUGUCGAUUUACAAGGAAGGGGGUUUGAAUUGUAAAUAUAUAUUUUUAAAAAUUCAUGAAAUAAACUCAAGUUUUAACUCAAGAAUGAUAUUGGUUAAGAAAACAGAAAACGGAGAACGUUCUUGGUUUUUUUAUAAAACAGAAAACGUUCUUGGUUAGCUUACAAAACAGAAAAUCAGUUUGUGUUUUAUCUUAGUUAAUCAAUAAAGCUUAAUAAAUAAAGAGAUAAGAUAGAGAAUACCACACAAAGAUAUAUCCUGGUUCACCCAACUCGGGCUACGUCCAGUCCUCACACUGUGAGUUUUUCCACUAAGUGUUUAAAACAAAGAACCUUUUUGAUUUUACAGCAUCUAGUUCAGAUCAACCUUGAUCUGUUUCAAUCUCUAUUACUUUCCACCCAUAAUAUUAUUUAAUUUUUUUAGAGAGUAAAACUAGAAAGUAUUUGUCCUCUUUCACUAUGUUUAUGUACUCUAGUUCUUGAUUUCUAAGAAAUUGCUCAUGAUACGAAUUCUUGUGUGUAUCUCUAUUUGAAAUUCACGGGGAUAUGAAAUAAUUGAAAAAUUGCUCUCUCUUUCUUACUUAAGGGAAACUUGUUGAGAAAUUGAUAAUAUUAUUUAAUUUUUUUUUAGAGAAUAAAACUUGAAAAUUAUUGUUUGACAAAUUAGUUGGAGUUAACCAUCUAUUUGGCAUAAUAUCGCUUCACUCAACUUUAAGUAAUAAGUUUAUCAUUACUAAAUCUAUAAGACUUAUUUCCUUCGUUCGUGAUUGAAAUAUUAUAUGCAAUUGUUUAAAUGAUUCAUUGUGUCAUGUUAGUUUAUAAUGCUAAGCUAAUUGAUUUUUGACAUGUUGUGCUUAAACGAGUAAUGAAAUUUAGAAUAUAUGUUAAUUAAAUUUAGAAUUAAUUUUCUUUAUAUGAUGUUUUAAUCUUGUACAUGUUAAACUAAAUGAUUGACAUAGAUAUCAAAUAUUAUAUUUUUAUAUUUUUCUAAAAAUAAUAGUAUUUUAGUGUACACAUUUUAAAGUCUAGGAUUUUAGGCGAUUCUACGUGCAUAUAUGCAUUUGUAACUAAUUUGAUGCGCCUUGUAUGUUGACUAAUGUUAAGUGCGCACAUAAUUAUAUUUAAUUAUUUUUAAAUAUAUCUUAUUUUAAUUAAUUAUUUUAUAAAAAAUUAUCUUGAGACAGUAGUAAUAUUGAUAUUGACUUUCUUUAUUUUUAUGUGGUUGUUACGGUAUGAUGAUUUUAUACAUAUUAAUUUUGAUUUAGUAAUUAUUAUAAAUUAUUGAUGUUAUAUUUAUUUAUUUGAUCAUUUCGAUAUUCUAUAAAGAUGAUGUAUUUUAUGUGAUUACUUUGAAAAAUAUUAUAGUAAUAACUAUAGUUAUUAUUUUGAUCAUCACAGUUUUGAUUAAAAUUAUAUUUAUCUAUGUUAAGGAAAAAUAAUAUUAUGUUAAAAUGAGUGUUUUGGAGAAAACGUUUCUAGCGUAGAUAAAUAAAAUAAAUGAUUUAUUAAUGACUUUUAGAAAUACUAGAAAAUAAAUUUUGGACCAGAUAACUGUUUACACCCUUAUUUUCUACUUAUGCAUAUUAAUUUGUGCUAUUAUUGGUUGGACUUUUAUUUCCUACGGUUGCUGCGAAGGACAAUUCUACCCUGCACCCCCAUACCUAAACUUGCCACCCCUCAAGACAAAUGGAAAUACAAUUUUACCCUUUUAACCAUUUAUCAUAAGUUUCAAAAUUGAUAGUUUCGGAAGUUUCAAAUUUUGAAAUUUUCGAAUUUUAAAUUUUUUGAAAUAAGGAUUACGUUUCGAAAAUUUAGAAUGUUUCGUAAGUUUCCAAAUUUGGAAAAUUUCGAAAGUUUCCAAAUUUGGAAAAUUUCGAAAGUUUUGAAUUAUUUGAAAGUUUCAGAAAUUUUGGAAUUCUAUUUCGAAAGUUUCGAAUUGUUCAAAGUUUCGAAAAUUUUAGAAAUUGACAUGUUGAAACUUUCGAACAUUCUAGAAAGAGCGGUGAAAAAAUUAAAAAUUAAAAAUGUUGAAGGGCAAAAUUGUAUUUUUCACGUUGGUUGGGGGUGAGAGGUUUAGAUGUGGAGGUGCAGGGUAGAAUGCUCUGGUGCGAGUUGCUCAUUACACUCCUAUUUCUGUCUCAGACUUUACUAUCACGUGUUGGGUCUUACCGUUUUACUUUUUUUCCUAUACAUCUGCUAUUUGCAACCCCUCCUUCUGCGAUUAAAAGAAUAAAAAUUGAAAAUCAGAUUAAUGGCAACCAAAUUGCAGCAAACCUUUUUUCUCUCAAAUUCACUGCCAACAAUUCUUUGUCAUUUGAAUCGAUCUCAAUCACUGUUCCACACAAAAUCUGCCACCGAAUCUAUUUUUGGUUUCAAUUUUAUCGAUCAUGACUCAUUUUCAUUAGAACUUAUAACUUAAAAGAUAACAUUUUUGAAACUUUUAACUCAAUUUUAUCAAUCAUGGCUUCAAUUUAAUUUGCCACAUUAUACUUUUUUAAAGGAAUUUAUAAAAAAUUUACGUAAGUGGAUUAUAACUUAAAAGUUAAUUUAUUUAUAAUUUAUGGACAACUAAUUAAUUAUUUUUUAUCAACAAAUGUCAAGAUGAAAAUCCAUCUUGAAUCAUUAUUAAUAAUUUUAAUUGUUUACAAUAGUUUUUAUUAAAAAUAAUGCAAUUCAUGAUCAUCUUCUUUCAAUAAAUAUUAGAUUUACUAUACCCAUUAAAUAAACAACUUUUUAAAACUGAAUCUAAGAAAUGAGAAUUCAAAUUUAUGAUCAUAAAUGAACAAAGAGUAGAAAUAUGUCAAAACAAAUAUCUCAUCGCACGAAAUAAAAUUAUUCUCUCAAGAACUAAACCAUUUAAAUUUAUGAAGGUCAAAGAUUAAACCAUUUAAAUUUGUCCAAAAAAAAAAUUUGAAUUUGCAAAAAAAAUAACGUUAUUCAACCAAAUAAACGAAACAAAGGAUUCAAGGACCGAAGGGUCCCCUAAACUUUUAUAAAAUAUUUCGAUAUUAGUACGUUAUUAUAAUUUUUUAUUUCUGUACUAAAUCUCAAUGUUAGUAUGUUAUUAUGUGGAAUGUGUUCAAUUUAAGAUUCUUGGUGCUAUGGGAGCAUUAGACGUUGAUUGUCAAGGUUAAAUUGUGGGUCAAUGUGAGGGAAAUAAAGGAUAGUCUUAUGAACUUUGAAGGUUAAUUUUUAAAAGCGUCUUCUUUUGGGGAUCAAUGUGAAUAAUUCUCGGUUGAAGAGACGAUACAAGUAUUUUAACACUCUAAAUUUUAUAAUAAAUUAUUUUAUUGAUGAAAUAUAAUUUCAAAUAUUUAAACUGAUGUUAAAAUUAUUUUAUAAUAUAUGUUAAUUAAAUUUAGGAUGUUUUAAUCUUGUACAUGUUAGACUAAAUGAGUGAUAUAAAUAUCAAAUAUUAUAUUUUAUAUAUUUUUCUAAAAAUAAUAGUAUUUUAGUGUACACAUUUUAAAGUAUAAGAUUUUAGACGAUUUUACGUGCUUAUGUGUGUUUGUAGUUAAUUUGAUACUUUCUUGUAUGCUGACUAAUGUUAAGUGUGCACACAAUUAUAUUUAAUUAUUUUUAAAUUUAUCUUAUUUUAUUUAAUUUAAUUAUUUUAUAAAUAAUUAUCUUGAGAUAUUAGUAAUAUUGAUAUUGAUUUUCUUUAUUUCUAUAUAGUUGUUACGGUAUGAUGAUUUUUUACAUAUUCAUUUUGAUUUAGUAAUUAAUAUAAAUCACUGAUGUUAUAUUUAUUUAUUUUAUCAUUUCGACUAAUCUAUAAAGAUGUUGUAUUUUUAUAUUAUUAUUUUGAAAAACAUAUUAUAGUAAUAAUUAUAGUUACUAUUUUGAGUAUAAGAGUUUUGACUAAAAUUAGAUUUAUCUAUAUUAAGGAAAAAUAAUAUUAUGUUAGAAUGAGUGUUUUGGAGAAAACGUUUAUAGCGUGGAUAAGUAAAAUAAAUUUUUUAUUAAAGAUUUUUAGAAAUACUAGAAAAUGAAUUUUAGACCAGACGACUGUUUACACCCUUAUUUUUUUUACUUCUGCAUAUUAAUUUGAGCUAUUAUUGGUUGGUUUUUUAUUUCCUACACCUGCUGCCUCAGACUUUACUAUCAUGUGUUGGGACUUACAGUUUUAUUCUUAUAUCUCUACGUUUUCUCUCUACACCACUCAUAUUGCAAUUAAAAAAAUAUAAAUUGAAAGUCAGACUAAAGGCCGCGAAACAAUUUUUCUCUCAAUUUCGUUUCCACCAAUUCUUUGUUGCUUGAAUCGAUCACAAUCUCUGUCCACACAAAAUUGGCCACUAAAUCCAUUUUUGGUGCCAAUUUUAUCAAUCGUGGCUCCGUUUCAUAAAAACAAAUGCGUUUCUUUCGUUGGGCGAGAUAUUUUUGGCCAAAUCUGAUCACUACGUUUGUCGUCUCAAAAAAAUAGUAUUAUUUUUGGAUUUCUCUUGUCGAAACUUACAAGAAGAACUACUCAUUUACAUUUUUCAUUGAAGUUGAAGUCGGACACUUAUGGCACUCGGAUGUGGAGAUUAUUUUAUCAUAAUAUAAGUAGGGUCUAACAAGCCUAGUGAUUUCGAGGAAGUACAACUGAAUGCGCCUGAUCAUGGAAGUCUGCUGUUGAGCCUUAAGGCAAAAUUGUUAGACAUUGGAGAUAUUCGGAUGGAGAAUUCCUAGGUGACUAGGAGGUAGCACUCCAAAUGUCGACAACUACCAUGCAACACACAUUUACCUCUACUUUUGCAUAUAUGUGACUCAGAUGGAGUUGAGGGUGAAGUAGUAAUAUCGAUUUACAAGGAAUGGGGUUUAAAUUGUAAAUGUUUCUAUUUAAAAAUUCCUGAAAAACUUAAGGAUUUUACUUAGGAAUGAUCUUGGUUAAGAAAACAAAAAACGGAGAAUGUUAUUGGUUAGCUUGAAAACAAAAAUUCAGUUUAUGUUUUAAUUCAAGUAAUCAAUCAGACUUAAUAACUAAGGAGAUAAGAGAACUAAUAUAUGUGAAUAAAAAUAUGUGAAUAAAAAUAUUCAGCUUUUGAAUACUUUUUAAAAUCUAUUUGACUGGGAUGGUUUAUUCGUUCAUGAUCAGUUUUAUCUUGUGUUUAAUGAUCCUUUAUGCUUCACAUAAAUUUGUUGAUGUUAAAUCUUUGAUCUGGAAACUCGACUCUGUUCAAAUCAAUUUGGAGAAUGAUGAUGAACUUCUACAGAUAUAAGGAGAUUGAUACCGAGCUUCUGCAGAAUUAUGGAGAUUGAUAAUUGAUCUAGAUUGUCAGUCUUGUACUUUCAGGAGAUUGAUGAUCAAUCUUGAGGUUCAUUGUUUGAUCAUUCUGGACGACUUCUCGAUCAAUCUGGAUGACUUUGUACAUACCAAAAUUGAUUAACUUUCUUGACAAUUAAGUUGGAGAAGUUUCAUACUUGUUUUAUCUUUUUUGAUUCAUGAGUUUUUAUCUUAGUGAUUCGAAUGCCUUCUUUGACUAGAAUGAAUCAUACUUGUUCCUUGCCAAGUACUGAUAACAUUAGCAUGAAAUUCAGAGGCAGAAUCUUUUAUGAACUAAUGCAGAUUGAUUAAUCUUGAGGCUGUGAUGAUCAGUCUUGAUCUUGGAGAACAUUCUCCGUUUUAUCUAGAAUGUUCUUGUUUCUUUAUCUGUUCAGUUUUUAUCUGAUUUCUUUGCUUUGCUUGAUUCCUAUCUUUGAAUUAAUUAACUCAAAAGCACAAGUUAAAUUAACAUAAUAUUUUAAAAUCAUAAUUAACAUUCUUAAUUAACCUUUAUUUAUUUUCAUCAAAACUUUAAUUUGAGAGUUUGUCUUAACAGAUGGGAUCUACGAGGAUAUGACCAAUUUGAAUUGUCCGUCCACCGGGAUAGUGUCAUGGUAUCAAGCCUCCUAACCAAGUACUUCAGAGUUAAAAUGGUACCACUUUGUGAAGUAGAGUCUAAGCUCAUGCAUAACAUUGCAUUUUCUUGUGAUUGUUUUUGUGUGAUUAAUGGGUAUCAUGUGCAAUAAUAAUUUCUCUUAGAAGAUUUGAUGUUAUAGUGAAAUGUAUUAAUUUUUUUUGGAGAGGUUUUAGAUUUAUAAUGUGAGUUAUUUCCUUGAAGAAUGUUUGUGUAACGAUACAGUUUGUUUAUGAUUAAUUGUGUGUUCUUCUUGCGUACUUAUAUUAUACUAUUAACAUGAUUUCAAAACUCAUCUCCUUCGUUGUUUAUGUUUGACUGACUCGACCUUGCGUUGAAGUUCAAGUUGGGAGAAACCCCACUCUGAUAGGUGAUAAUAGGAAUAAGAGUUUUGAAUUGUAUUUUACUUUUACUUUUUAUUAGAAAUGACUUUUUGUAUGAAAAUCUUAUAAGCACUAGUAAGUUUUUGGAAUUAAAUUAAGAAAUUUUAGUUAAAUCAAAUAUAUGGAGAUUGCAUCAUUUUAUAAGAGGUAACAGUUUAAAGUGUUGUUUUUUGAAUUUUGAGAAACUUGAUAACCUAAAUUAAUUAAAAAAAGUUUUUUAUUUACUUGAAAAUAUAUCUUCUUUAUCAGUUGCUAAUGUAUCAAAAACAAAAAAAAAAAUCUACUAAAAAUUAUUAUAUAUUAUUUUGGGGUUUAGGGUGUCACAUUAGUGGUAUCAGAGCAUGUAUGUCCAAUGAGAACGAGUGAGUCGAGUGUUGAUUCAUUAAUCGAAUGUUAGUCGUGUCGGUUGUGUUUUGUUAUGUAUUAAUAAUUUUCAAUAUCAUAAUUUUUUUUCCCGUUAUAUUAUUGUAUUAUGCACAAUAUACUUUUGUAUGCUUUUAAUAUUUUUGAAGUUACUAAUUAACAAUUUAUUUCUUGUUUAUUUUGAUUGUAAUGCACAUUCUUAAUUUCUAUCUAAAUGUCUAAAUAUAACAUGAAUUGUUGACAAUACAAACCUUUUGAUUGGACUUGUGGUUUGAGUUUCGAACUUCGAUUAUUUGUUUUUGUUAGAGUGGUAAUUAGAAAUAAUUUUUUUUAUUGACUAGCUAUAUCAUUGAAAUUAUUAAUUUAAUUGGGGUAAUAUUAAUUAUCGAUUAUAGAUCUUGCCUUUUGGGAUCAUAGCAUGAUUAUAAAAAUUUUGGUAAAUUAAUUUAGAACGUUGUUGUGAGUUUUUAGAAUUUAAAAAAAAAAUUCGAUGAGGGAGUUAAAAUUGGCUUAUUUUGUAGAAUGAAAAUAACUUUUAUUUGAAUUACUUUUGAUUAUUUUAAAGAAAUUACAUUGAGUUGGAUUUUUGAUGAUUUAUAAAAUAAUAAUAAUUCUAUAUUCUUGAUUUUAUUUAACGUUUAAAAUAGCUAAAAAUUUACACCAUAUUUUAUUACAUGUUAUUUUUAAGAAGAAAAAAAAAAGAUUUGUUGUUUAUAUGGUUUAGAGGGCCUCAUGUAAAUAUUGGAUCUUGAGAGUGUCGAAAUAUUUAUUUGAAAUAAUUGAUUUUUUAAUUAUGAUUUUGUGAACUCAUUAGAGUUUAACUUGAUGUUUAGGCUUGAAGAAUUCAUUAGAGAUUUAUAAUUGUGUUAAUAAAAAAAGUAAAAUGAUAAAAUGUCUAUUAAUUGAAAAAGAAAAGAAAAAUAAAAACAAUGAUUUUAAAACAAUUAUCUCAAUAGUUAAACUCCUUUUGAAAAAUUAUCUAAAUUUUAGAUAAUCGAUUUAUUUUAUGAGUAGAAUGUUUUUUUUUUUUGAGUAGAAAUGUAGUUUUUGUGUUAUCAUUGUCAAAAUGUAUAUUUGAGUUUAAUAUGAGAAGAUGAUAUGUUGUUUAUAUAUUUUUUCUUGUUACAUGAAUUAACCUAACAAAAUGAUAUGCAUCAUGUAGAUUGGUAUGUGUAAAGUGUAUCAUGUAGAUUGAUAUGUGUAUAGAGAUUAAAAUUUAUUUUAUCCAUUUUAUUAAUUAUAAAAUUGCAUUUUUUUUUAUUAGGGAUCUAAUUUUUAAGAUUAAAAUAGACCUCUAAAAUCUUUAAAAUUUAUGGUGUGUUUUGUUUUAGAUCAAUUUUAUGGCUUGAUAGAAACUCGAGAUGUAUCUAUACGCCUAUUGAGUACUUGAUGUGAGAGGAAGUUGUUAUUUUGUAGAUUUGUCAAUUAGUGUUAUCAUAACCAAAUAUGUCUUAUGAUUUGUGUCAUGUGCACAACUACUUUAAUGUAGAAAAGUAUAUGAUUUUUUUUUGUAAGUAUUGAGAAAAGAAAUUGGAACUAUUUCAGAUGUGUUAAUUAAUUGAAAAAUUUCCUAUCUAUCUAUAUAUAUAAUUGAAAUUUUCUUUCAAAAGAUAAGUUGAAAAUAAUUAUUUUAUAGUGAUUAUUUAUAUAAAAAUGUGUUUUCGAUGAUUAAAGUACAAGUGAAAUUUUAGAAAUCUUAUAGAUUUUUAAAAUACAUGUAAUUUAUUAUUUUUGUUUUAUUUUUUAUUUAGACGUGAUUUAUUGAAAAAUAGUUUAAGGAAAAAAACUUUGAAUUCUCAAUGAAUUUUUGUUGUGCUAAAUGAUUAGUGAUACAUUUUAUAAUAAUUUAAGUGUAGAAAUCAAUUUUUAAAAUUACGUGUAACCUUUAAAGUGGUUUAUGUACUACCUAAUUCAAUUUGGUUUGAUAGCGUGUUGAAUCUUUUCGUAAAUAAAUAUUUCGCUAUAUGGAAAAUAUUUCCUUUAGUUUGUUGUAACUUUUAAAUGAUGAAGAUUAACUCAAAAGAAAAUUUAGUCGUGGUCAAUUUGGAACAUGUGUGAAGAAUCAUCGUUUGAGUUAUGAGAUGAACAAAUCUUGAUGCUAAUUUUUGGAUUAGUUAUGUGAUGGUGUAUACGAUUAUCUAAAUAUCAAAUUGUUUGUGUUUCAAGUGUUCUAUUUAUUGGGAAUUAGUAUAUAGAGUAAGAGUAUUCGAGAGUAUUUAAAAGUGAAAUAAUUUUAUAUUUUUUUAUCCAAUUAUUGAUUAUAUAUUGAUGCAAUUGUCUUUGUUACUACUCGUUGUGACACCGUAAACUCAAAAAUAUUAUGUUCAUUAAAAAAAUGAGCAUGUCAUUGCAUUGCAUAAUAUUCUUAAAAUAUUAUGUUAUUGAUGUAUGUGAAUUGUCUCAUAGUGUGUAUAAUUAAAUAUUUACUGUGUUAUAUGUUAUGAAGAUUUCAUAUGAUUUCAAUGUUCAUCUCUCAUGCUCUAUGUUUGGCGCUGCUAAACACAUAAACUUUUAACAUGCUUCAAGUGACACUUAGAGUCAAAGCAGAAGACAUGCUUUAUUGAAGUUUUACUAUUAUUUAUAUAUGUAUCGAACAUUUUAACUUUGGAAAUCAUACUAUGAUGGGUGACAUUUGGUUUUGGUAAAUAAUUAUUUUGUCAAAUUUGGUUAUAUUCUAUCGUUUACGAAUUCUCAUGUUCCACGAAUUUAAUUUGAUAUAAUUCUAAUAUUAUGAUUUUAUUGAGACUAUUUAGGUGAGUGUUUAUGACAUGUAUGUGGUAUUCUAUGCCUCUACAUAAUAUUUUGAAAACUCAUAUUUAUAUUUAUCGUAAACUAAACUAUACUGCAUAUAAAAAAAAUAAAGUUAUGUAAUUCUUGAGCAUUUGUUAUGCUCAUUCAAUAAUCCUUAUAUAUUUGAAUUAUAAUUUUCAUCAUACAACUCGCAUUUUAGGUGCUACCAGCAAAACGAGUUCCGCAAAAAUUCUCAAAAUAACAAAUAUAAAGUUUAUGAUUCAGAGAUAUUUAUAUUCUAGUUAUAUUAGGCCGUUACCAAGUGACAUGGAGUUUUAGAGUGUUUUUGAAAUUAGACAUUUGUAAAUGUUUAAGUUGAUACUCUUUUCAAAUAAAAUGUUUUGUAUAAUAUUUAUUAAAUAAAUAGUUUUUAUUUUUUAACAAAUUUUCUAUUAUAUAUAUUUUAACGUUAUUUCCGCAAAUAUAGGCAGAGGGUGUCACAACUAGCCUCUAGUGGAAAACAUAAGAGCAUGAACUCAACAUAACUUAAUUAAAUAGAAUAUGUGUCACGUCAUCUUAAAUCAUUCAUUUUUUACUCUAAAUGUUUAACUCUUAAAAAUCAUAUAGGUCCCACAACUUUAAUUCAUACAUUAAUAUAUCAUUUUUAUUUCAUUUCAUUACAACUUUAAAUAUCAAUUUUCAUAUUUUAAUUAAUAUUAUACAUUAAUUUAAAUUUAAAAUAAAAAUAAUAACGGUCAUAAAUUAAAAAAUAUAAUAUUUAUAAAUUUAUUAUUAUUAAAUUGUGAGAGUACCAUUAUCUGUUAUAGCACCAAAAACUAAAUUUUACAUAUUUUUUUGUCGUGAACAAAGAUAGUUGUCAAUCCUUAGAUAUACUCUAAGGAUGUUUCUAGUGGAAACAUAGAAGUGUAUCUAGGAUUUGCCAACUAAAAUGAUUGUCAUCCUAGUUAGAAGAAAAUCAAUUUCGAAGAAGUAAACACAAAAUGUUUUGUGAUGUUUCAAAGAAGCAUCUUUUGCAUGUGCAAUUUAUGCAUGAUUUGCCCAAUUAACUACUCUCCUUAUGCUUGAAACGAACAAAACAUUAUUUGAUCCUACAAGCAAUCAACUUUUGGAUAAAUAAUAUAAAGUAAAAGAGGAAAUAUUCAAAUCCCAAAAAGGAUAAUGCCUUAAAUAGUACAAUCAUACUUUACAAAUCAAUAUAAAAUAUAACUUCACUAUUUGAAUGAAGAAGAAAACAAAGAUAAAGAAGAAACACUGAGUCUUACAUUAUUAUGCCUCGUAUAUUUCUAAAGUAUUUUCGAAACAGCUCAUGUUGAGUGUUUUUUACUUAAUUUUAAAAGAAUUUUUUAUUUAUUUAUAAUUAAUGAAUACAUAAAUACCAAGCGCAAUCAUUUUUACACUCUUUUGAGCAUUUACUCAACUAUUGGUCCACGUUAUUAUUAUUGAAUUUUUUUCACAAGCAACCCGUCCAUUUGAUCAAAUUUGGUUUCAUACAUUUUAAAAUUAAAAGUCUUUUUUUAAAUCGAUGUCUAUAGACUUAACUAUAGACGAAACUUUAUUCUUGUCUAUAAAUAAUUGUAAAAAACGGACUAUGACAAUUAAACUCUAAAUAAUGUUAUAGUAAAAUAUGAUAUAUAAUAAAACACAAUAGAAUUAACAUAAAUAAGUUUUCAUUUUUUUUUUGUCUAUAGUUAAAUGAUAAAAAAUUUGCACUCAAUAUAUUCAAAACAUGAAAUUCGAUAUAUAACAUUUUUCAGUUGAACUAAAUUUUCUAGAUGAUCGUCUAUUUUUAUGCUACUUGAUAUAAUUUUAUUUGAUCUACCAUAAAAAAAAAAAAAAUUAUCUUAUAAAAUAUAUUCUUUGAAAGUAAAAUUUGUCCAAUAUAUUUCGUACCUUACGGUGAAGCUUCCUCCUCUCAUCUUAAACUUUUUACGUAAAAAUUAUAUUUAAUAUAAGAUCUCACAAUUUUUUAAUUUAUUAGAGUCAAACAAAUACUCUGUAUAAGAAUUACAAAAAUCAUUGCAGCAGCCAUAUCAGACACGACAUAAGAUAACAUGUAAAGUUUUUCAAAGUUUGUUACGGACAAAGGACAAGAAACUUGAGUCAUUUUGUAAAUUAUAAUGAUAAGAGUAACAUUAGUGUAUUAUAUGCUUUUUGAAGAGUAUCAAUAAUUAUCAUUAAUAUUUUGGAUCAUUGAUGAUACAUUAUAUAUUAAAAUAGUGUAAAUAAUUUUAGAUGAUUUAUGAUAUAUUAUCAUAGAAUUUUGAAGAGUGUAAAUAAUUAUCGUUAAUAUUUUAGAUAAUUUAUGAUAUAUUAUUUAUUAAAUUGGUUCAUUGUACAAUUUACUAUAUUUCAUAUUAUAAAAUAAUAAAAAUGGAGAUCAAUAAAUAUUAACUUCUCUAAAACAAAAUACAAGCAAAAAGAUGUAUUAUAUUAAAUUUUUUUAAAGAAAAUUUAAAGUGAGGAAAAUAUAUCUUAAUUUAUUAAAUACUUACAAAAAAAAAUUUACUUUAACCAUUUUAAUCACAUUAUCAUAUAUCAAAUUCACAUUCUACGAGUCAACUAUCUAUCUCUUUAUCAUUAAACCAAAAAAUUAAAAUCAAUAUUAAUUUUAAAUUAAAUACAUUAAUUUUUUGAUAGUAGAAAAUAUUAAAUAUAUUAAGUAAAAGAUGAAGGUAGUGUCCAGCUAAUAAGCUACUUAGUUUAUUGGAUAUUGUUAAAAUUUCAUGCAUAGGUUGCUGUCUCUAUCAAAUCCAAAUCCACGUUUCAUAACCAACUUGGGUCGCAUUGGUCCAAAGAAUCUUACUUAUAUUCAAAAAAGCAGGCCAUUAUUUUUCAAUAAUAGUGUGUGUAUUUUUUAUGAUCGGUGAAUAUACUAGUAUUUUUAGUUUGUUAGAUGUUGAAAACUAUGUGAAUUGUAAUAUGUAUAAAAAUCAAAGUACACCAACCAAGACAAAUAUUGAGGUUAAAAGGGUAGAGAAAAAAACUAUAUAAAGGGUGAUGCUAUCUUCCAUAAUUGCAAUACCAAAACCCACUUUGGGAAAACAUGGGGUCACUAAUGGCCUCUACUAAUCUUAUUAUUGCAUUCACAAUAAUGUCUCUUGCUUUUGCUUCUCAAAUUUCAGCAAAUAAUUAUAUCUAUUCAUCUCCACCACCACCGUCACCAAAGCCUUACUACUACCACUCACCGCCACCACCAGUGCACUCUCCUCCACCUCCUUACCAUUACAUUUCACCACCGCCGCCACCAAAGAAGCCGUACAAAUACCAUUCUCCUCCUCCACCAGUUUACAAGUACAAGUCUCCACCACCACCCUAUAAAUACCCUUCUCCACCACCACCACCAAAAAAACCUUACAAAUAUCUCUCUCCUCCACCACCAGUUUACAAAUCUCCUCCUCCUCCUUAUAAGUACCCUUCUCCUCCACCUCCACCGUAUAAAUAUCCAUCUCCACCACCACCAGUUUAUAAGUACAAAUCACCUCCUCCACCAGUGUAUAAAUACAAAUCUCCUCCACCUCCACCUAAAAAGCCAUAUAAGUAUCCAUCUCCACCUCCCCCUGUUUAUAAAUACAAAUCUCCACCACCACCAGUUUACAAGUACAAAUCACCUCCUCCACCAGUGUAUAAGUACAAAUCUCCUCCACCUCCACCUAAAAAGCCAUAUAAGUAUCCAUCUCCACCUCCCCCCGUUUACAAAUACAAAUCUCCACCACCACCGGUGUACAAAUCUCCACCUCCUCCCGUUUACAAAUACAAGUCACCACCACCCCCAGUGUACAAAUACAAAUCUCCACCUCCCCCCGUUUACAAAUACAAGUCACCACCACCCCCAGUGUACAAGUACAAAUCUCCACCACCACCAGUGUAUAAAUCUCCACCACCACCCUACAAGCAUAUAUCUCCACCACCAACGCCCAAGAAACCAUACAAGUACCCAUCACCACCACCACCAGUUUAUAAAUACAAAUCUCCACCACCACCAUACAAGUACCCAUCCCCACCACCACCUCCGUACAAAUAUCCAUCACCACCACCACCAGUCUACAAAUAUAAGUCUCCCCCACCACCGUACAAGUACCCAUCACCUCCACCGCCACCAUACAAAUAUCCAUCACCACCACCUCCAGUUUACAAGUAUAAGUCCCCUCCUCCACCUGUUUAUUCACCACCUCCACCACAUUAUGUUUAUGCUUCACCUCCUCCUCCGGUCUAUUCCCCUCCUCCACCGCAUUACAUCUAUGCAUCACCUCCUCCUCCUUACCAUUAAUAGAGAGUGGUUUACCAUAUCAUCCAUGGUAUGCUUCUUCGUACGUACAACCUACAUAAAACAAUUCAUAAUAAAACGUAUUAAUCUUUAAAAAAGAUAAUUAUUUAUACAUACAUCAACAUACUAGAGUUGUUUAAUAUGGUUAUCAUCUAAAUUGAACUUCAUUAUUUUUAACAAAUUAUAAUAAAUAUUGUAUUUGCUUUUCAUUUUUUCUUAUUAUAAAAUUUAUUUUUUAUUAAAAAAAUUAAAAAUUCAUCUUUAAAUUAUAUUUUUAGAAGUUUAUAUUAGACAUGUUCCAAGAUAUUAUAUAUUUUAUCAAUGAAAUAAUUAAAUAAGAGAAAAAAAUAAGUUAAGUUAUUUGAAUACUUUUGCAUGCCGGCACAUGUAAGUCAUUAUCUUAAUAAGCCUCACUUUUAACUCAUUCCUAUAAUCUAAAUUGUACAUAAAAUUAAAAAAGUAUAUAUUAUUAGUGUAAAAUUGUUUUACACCAACAUCAAAUAACAAUUUAUUAUUUUGUUAUAUUAUAUCAUAUUUUUAUAUUUAUUUUGAAAUUGAUUAUAUAAUAUGAAAAUAUAAUGAAUUUUCAUUAAAUGUCAAUAUAAAAUUAGUUUUUACUAACAAUAUAUGGCCACUACACUCAUUGUACAUAACCGUGAUUCCCAAUCAAUCAUAUAUAGUUUAUAUGCAAGUAGCUUUUUUUUUUUUUUUUUAUUCAAACAAGUUUUCAUAUUGAGUCAAAAACAAAGUUUUUAUAUUAAUGUACAAAUUAAGGUAUAUACAUAUAUAUGCUUGUCUGUUGAUACAGUAUAUGGUAUUUUUAAUAUUAGACCUUUUAAAAAAUGGAUUUAAAUGUGGACUCUUCCCAAACACUUGUUAAUGUUUCCCUUAUUUUUAUUGAAAACCGAUGAAACAUCAUAAAUGUGUUGUAGUAGGUGAGAUCAUAAAGUCAUUAAACUAGGACUAUCCAACAUGCCUUACAUUUCAUUAUAAUUUCCUUUUAAAGAAUAUAUUUUAAGGCAUGGUCGUAUUGUCCGAUUUUGGUUUGCUUUUCGAGAUAUUUAUCAUUAAAAAAAACGUUUUAUUAAAAUUAAUCUAAGAUUUUUACCUUUAUUUUUUUAUUUAUUAUUGAACUAAAAAAGAAAUACAAUUCAAAAUCAAAGUUUAUAGUUAUGCUUAUUCAGUUCGUUUGAUACAGGUUGAAAUAAAAAGUAAUGAAAUUCUUAAAUAAAUAAAAAAAAGUAAUGAAAUUUUACUAUCAUUAAAAUAAAUAAAAAAAAACUCAAGUUGUUUGAUUCUUAUUUUCCAACAUUUGAUAAACCUAAUAAAAAAUUUAGUUAGAUUAUAUAAUGUUUAGGGAACUUCUACUGUACAUUCACAAAUUAAAAGGUUUUAUGACAUUUGUUAUCUAAACCAAUAAAUUAAUGACAAUUUUCGUGAAUCAAUGAGUUAUUUGUUGACUUUUGUAUUUUAAGAAAGAUCAUUCAUAAGAAAAAAUAUUUCAUUGUUUAUAAGUAUUAUACUAAUUUUUUAUAUUGUAUUGUAAAUAAUAUUCAAUGUGUACUGUUAUGAGUAAUAUAAAUUCAAAAAAAUAAGAAUUUUAUUUCACUCACAUUUUUGGUAAAGAAUUUUUAAUUAUUAUAUUUUUUAAAUGAUAGAAAUAAUUUUUUUCAAAAAAAAAAAAAAAAACUCGUUUAACUGUUAAUUUAAAGAUCAAAUAUUUUAAUAUAUGUCGAAUUGACUUAUGUAGAGUAAAAUUUCACUUACAUCUAAGGUUAAAUAUUUCUCAUCUGCAUUGUUGAAUCGACUUAUUAGUGAAAGAGAUUUAUUUAUAUAUUUAUGUGUGUAUACUUUUGUAGGAUUUGAGGAAUAUAUCGAAAAUAAAGCGAAGAUAGUGCACAUAAGGAAUAUGCAUUGUGCAAUUAUACAAAGGAAAAAUAGUGGAAGCAAAGUUUCUGAAGAUGUAUCGCACAAUUAUUAAUUUGUCUCAUAAAAAGAAAAAAGUGUCACUCUUUUUCUCUUCGUGUGUUUUAUUUAGGAAUAAAUUAUAUUCUCAUUAUUGUAUGAAUUUUGAAUUUAAGAUGUUGUAAAGCACUUUGUGUCAUACCGUAUGUCAUUUAAUCAUAUAUGUGAAUGCAUUUUGUUUUAAUUGCAACUUAAUCGUUUGCAAAGGGUUGCGAAGCCAAAUCAAUGUUAAAUAAAAAUUGAAUAUAUCUCCUUCUAAGUCAUGGUACUUUGAAUAACAAAUUCUCCUAAAAAACUAACAA